rnacentral:misc_RNA from 1 species
UCUCCGUUGGUGAACCAGCGGAGGGAUCAUUACCGAGUUUUCAACUCCCAAACCCCAUGUGAACUUAUACCAUUUACAACCGUUGCUUCGGCGGGUUCUCGCCCCCGCGAGGGGGUGCCUGCCGCUGGCCAACCAAAAAUUCUAGCUGUUUUUGUACCAUCUGAGUCUUCCACAAAUAAACAAAACUUUCAACAACGGAUCUCUUGGUUCUG